rnacentral:lncRNA from 1 species
UGAAAUCGCACAAACGGGCCACCAUGAUAUGCAGAAGGCUGGUAUACACCUCAAAUGACCAUAUGAGAUCAUGGAUUAGGUGGGGAUUGAAGUGGAUUAGGGUAGAAUUAGGUGGCGAUGGCUAGGGUUCAUAUGAGGUUGCAGAGAGAAUUAGGAGAGGAAAGGGAUUCAAAGGCAAUGGGUGGUGGGAAAUGAUUUAGGUUUAGGGGUCUUUCGGGGUUAAAAAGGGAAAGGGUGAAUGAUGGUCAUUGAUCUGAAUGAUUAAUGGCUUGAAUUAAAGAGGG